AGAAGCUUGCUUCUUUUGGAAUCGAGUGGCAAACGGGUGAAUAACACGUAAACAACCUGCCUUCAGGAUGGGGACAACAGACGGAAACGACUGCUAAUACCGAAUACGCUUGGGAGACCGCAUGAUCUUCCAAGGAAAGGGUGGCCUCUACCUGUAAGCUAUCGCCUGAAGAGGGGUUUGCGUCUGAUUAGGCAGUUGGUGAGGUAACGGCCCACCAAGGCGACGAUCAGUAGCCGGCCUGAGAGGGUGAACGGCCACAUUGGGACUGAGACACGGCCCAAACUCC
rnacentral:rRNA from 1 species